rnacentral:rRNA from 1 species
CUUUUGUCCGGGACGAUAAUGACGGUACCGGAAGAAUAAGCCCCCGGCUAACUUCGUGCCAGCAGCCGCGGUAAUACGGAAGGGGCUAGCGUUGCUCGGAAUCACUGGGCGUAAAGGGCGCGUAGGCGGCCUUGUAAGGUUGGGGUGAAAGCCCCGUGGCUCAACCACGGAAUUGCCUUCGAUACUGCUUGGCUUGAGUGUGGUAGAGGUUGGUGGAACUGCGAGUGUAGAGGUGAAAUUCGUAGAUAUUCGCAAGAACACCGGUGGCGAAGGCGGCCAACUGGACCAUCACUGACGCUGAGGCGCGAAAGCGUGGGGAGCAAACAGGAUUAGAUACCCUGGUAG